UUAACUAUUAUAAUUUACUCAGACGACACUAUAACAAGAGUUUGGGUCCUCUGGCGGGCACGGUCAGCCGAAGCCGACGCCGAAGCGGCCCGCCAAAGCAACAAAGAAGGUAUACACGGGUGUUAGUUCUCCCUAAAGGCGCAUUGCUGCAACCAUCGCAAGAGUCAGAGCCAGCGUCCGAUAUUACACCGGCGGCCGGAUGACCCUGCCCCCAUCCUUCCAACCCAUAGGGCUGGCCGACUUGAAGGCAGUUAAAUACGAGGGGUGAUCCGAAUCUUUCGAACGGACACAACUAUUAAUGAUCCUUCCGCAGGUUCACCUACGGAAA
rnacentral:misc_RNA from 1 species